AGCCUGAUCCAGCCAUGCCGCGUGAGUGAAGAAGGCCUUAGGGUUGUAAAACUCUUUCGCCGGAGAAGAUAAUGACGGUAUCCGGAGAAGAAGCCCCGGCUAACUUCGUGCCAGCAGCCGCGGUAAUACGAAGGGGGCUAGCGUUGUUCGGAAUUACUGGGCGUAAAGCGUACGUAGGCGGAUUUGUAAGUAGGGGGUGAAAUCCCCAGGCUCAACCUGGGAACUGCCUUCUAGACUGCAAGUCUUGAGAUCAGGAGAGGCGAGUGGAAUUCCGAGUGUAGAGGUGAAAUUCGUAGAUAUUCGGAGGAACACCAGUGGCGAAGGCGACUCGCUGGACUGAUACUGACGCUGAGGUACGAAAGCGUGGGGAGCAAACAGGAUUAGAUACCCU
rnacentral:rRNA from 1 species